UUCAACUGAUUUUAGAGCAAUUUACAUAUGUCCACAUGGGUUGGACAACAUACACUUCUAUACAUAUCUCUCGAAUACAAUGUGCACAAAAUGAUAAUCCACUCUAUACCUAUAUACCUAUAUAUUAUAGCUACUAAGCUAGCCCGCCUGUGGUGAGUUCUCAAUGCUAAGUUCCCCGAUUGACACGUGGGUUGGGUUUUCUUUCCGGUUCACCUCCGGUCUUUUAGCUUGGGUGGACUGGUUCACCGUGUAUGCUAGAGAAAAAUCUAGAGAAGCCCCGAUCCCUUGCUUCUUCCUUAUCCUCCUUGCGGGGGGAGAGAGAGAGACGCGGAGACAAAGGGGAGACCGGUGAAGCACAUGGAUCUUCCAAAGCUGGCAUACGAGGCAGGACAGAUACGAGGGCGUCGCGGUGGCGGCCGUCUUGCCGCUCAGGAGCUCGGAAUCCCAUCUCUCACUCGCGGCGUCUCCCAAAUCCUUGUCCUUCUUUUAACUUUUUAAGCCUAGGCAUGGCGGCACCGGCGGCAGCGGCAGCGGGGCAGCGCAGUUGCAGGUCGUCAUAUCCUGCUCCUUUCAGAAACACCUCGCCUUCUCUUUUGUCGACCAUGGUGUCAACGACCUAUCGGUCCGGAUUGGGGGUCGCUCGCUCUGAUCCUCCACCAUCACGCCCCCAUGGAGCACCGAUGGGAGGCCGCCGCCUUCAGCCCUUCAACUUGCAUCCGCCCUGCUGCACGUUCGUUGUGGCCGACUCGACCCGCACAGAGGAGACACGGCCACGGGGGCAUAGCAACACCUGUGGGUGCGGGGAUAAGGCGAUGCGGACGAGAAGAUGUGGCGGAUCCCCGGUAUGUUGGCUUCGUAUUUGUCGACAUUAUUGUACCUGGGAUGCCUUUGACCCUUCCUGUUGCUAUGCACGGGUUCUUCCAGCAGCUGGUUGCUACGCUCACGGUGGCAGCCUUCCUGGCGCUGCACUUGCUACGGCCAAGAUACACUUUGUACUUAACAAAUUCUCUUCUCCUGUGAAGUGGUCCUGCUGGUUAGGAUGAGCACCAUAUUGUACGGUCACGUAUGUCAGGCAUUGUUUUCAAGUGUGCAUACUACUAUUUGUUUUCAAGUGUUUUCAAUUUUGGUGAAAAAAAUGAAUUCCGGCAGAACUUCGGCCAUCUCGGCCUGGGGCGAGAAAUAUCUAUCGGCCAAAAAGAAUGAUUUUGGUCAAAUUUCAGCCGAAAUUUUUGAAAAUGACCGAAAUUCGGCCAUCUCAGCCUGGGGCAAGAAAAAAUACAAACCGAAAAUUAAAACACGUUUGAGCUAGGUAUAUCAAUCCUGAAAGUGAACAUUCAGAAUGCUGGAUUUUUUUGAACUGAGAGUGCUGGAAUUUUUGACUCAAUAACAGAUGUUUGCUUAGCUAUUUACACCGUGGAAUAUACUUUAGACCUAUUUUAACUGCUUAAGUUUUAGCAUGUAUCUCAUUCUUCUUAUAGUGCACCUGUACUAUUAGUGAUUAAUAAUUUAAGUUUGUUUACUCCAUCAUCAGAUACCAAUGCCCAGAUUAUGAGAACGCUGCUGAGUUUUUGGCUGAUCUCAUUUCCAUUGAUUAUAGAUCAUCAGAAAGUUGAUAACCUAAUUGAUGAAUUCACGAAUAAGGUUCUGAUUACUGAAGUUAACAGUUGAAGGGGCUCUGAAUGCUUAGAAGUCUACUAGAAAACGAAGAUGUGGUUGGUUGAGACAAUUUCGUUUCUUGUUCAAGAGAGCAUGGAUGCAGGGUUUUUAACUAAACCUUAUUUGAUAAAGUCUUCCAGCUUUUGACCCCUUUAAUAUGCUUUUCCUCCUUCUGCUUUUAAACAAGUCAAUGGGUUAUUUUGGCAUCUGUUUUUAAUGUAAAUGAGUUGAAUCUGUUAUACUGUACCAAACUAGGGAGAUCUAUCUUUUCAAUAUUUGCUAUAAGUUUAUGCUGAUGGCAUAAUUGUGUCGAUACAAGAACUAGCUUCUAAAUUAUUUUCUACACAACAACAUUACUCCUUUAAACUGGAGGAGGCAGCCAAUUAGGAGGCAUGAACUCUGAAAGUUUGAAGAUUUAACACAUCUGGUCGCAGGGCGACAGGGAAAGAGGGUAGAUGCUGGCAAGUGGUGUUCGCAGAUUGGACAGCAAUCAAGCGGCGGUGAAGAAUCGAGCUAUUAUUACCAUGUGAACUAGCUGAAGUCACCAUUGAACAUUAUGGCAACCUGCACAUUGUGUCGUCUGAAUUUGUAUUGAAGGAGAAAACAACAAGGCAUGAAGGCCAAAA